AGGGUUCGAUUCUGGCUCAGGAUGAACGCUGGCGGCGUGCUUAACACAUGCAAGUCGAACGGGAUCCCAGGAGCUUGCUCCUGGGUGAGAGUGGCGAACGGGUGAGUAAUGCGUGACCGACCUGCCCCAUACACCGGAAUAGCUCCUGGAAACGGGUGGUAAUGCCGGAUGCUCCAGUUGACCGCAUGGUCCUCUGGGAAAGCUUUUGCGGUAUGGGAUGGGGUCGCGUCCUAUCAGCUUGAUGGCGGGGUAACGGCCCACCAUGGCUUCGACGGGUAGCCGGCCUGAGAGGGCGACCGGCCACAUUGGGACUGAGAUACGGCCCAGACUCCUACGGGAGGCAGCAGUGGGGAAUUUUGCGCAAUGGGGGAAACCCUGACGCAGCAACGCCGCGUGCGGGACGAAGGCCUUCGGGUUGUAAACCGCUUUCAGCAGGGAAUAUAGUGAAGGUACCUGCAGAAGAAGCUCCGGCUAACUACGUGCCAGCAGCCGCGGUAAUACGUAGGGAGCGAGCGUUAUCCGGAUUCAUUGGGCGUAAAGCGCGCGUAGGCGGCCCGUCAAGCGGGGUUUCAAAUCCAGGGGCUCAACCUCUGGCCGGACCCCGAACUGGCGGGCUCGAGUGCGGUAGAGGAAGGUGGAAUUCCCAGUGUAGCGGUGAAAUGCGCAGAUAUUGGGAAGAACACCGAUGGCGAAGGCAGCCUUCUGGGCCGCCACUGACGCUGAGGCGCGAAAGCUAGGGGAGCGAACAGGAUUAGAUACCCUGGUAGUCCUAGCCGUAAACGAUGGGCACUAGGUGUGGGGGAGCAUCUCCUCCGUGCCGCAGCCAACGCAUUAAGUGCCCCGCCUGGGGAGUACGGCCGCAAGGCUAAAACUCAAAGGAAUUGACGGGGGCCCGCACAAGCAGCGGAGCAUGUGGCUUAAUUCGAAGCAACGCGAAGAACCUUACCAGGGCUUGACAUAUGGGUGAAGCGGGGGAGACCCCGUGGCCGAGAGGAGCCCAUACAGGUGGUGCAUGGCUGUCGUCAGCUCGUGUCGUGAGAUGUUGGGUUAAGUCCCGCAACGAGCGCAACCCCUGUUGCCAGUUGCCAGCAUUAAGUUGGGGACUCUGGCGAGACUGCCGGUGACAAGCCGGAGGAAGGCGGGGAUGACGUCAAAUCAUCAUGCCCCUUAUGACCUGGGCUACACACGUGCUACAAUGGACAGAGCAGAGGGAAGCGAAGCCGCGAGGUGGAGCGAAACCCAUAAAACUGUUCUCAGUUCGGACUGCAGUCUGCAACUCGACUGCACGAAGAUGGAAUCGCUAGUAAUCGCGAAUCAGCAUGUCGCGGUGAAUACGUUCUCGGGCCUUGUACACACCGCCCGUCACACCAUGAGAGUCGGUAACACCCGAAGCCGGUGGCCUAACCGCAAGGAAGGAGCUGUCUAAGGUGGGACUGAUGAUUGGGGUGAAGUCGUAACAAGGUAUCCCUACGGGAACGUGGGGAUG
rnacentral:rRNA from 1 species